rnacentral:rRNA from 1 species
GUGCCAGCAGCCGCGGUAAGACGAACCGUGCGAACGUUGUUCGGAAUCACUGGGCUUAAAGGGCGCGUAGGCGGGCUGUCCAGUCUGGGGUGAAAUCCCGCGGCUCAACCGUGGAACUGCCUCAGAUACUGACGGCCUCGAGGGAGAUAGGGGCAUGCGGAACUGUAGGUGGAGCGGUGAAAUGCGUUGAUAUCUACAGGAACUCCGGUGGCGAAGGCGGCGUGCUGGAUCUCUUCUGACGCUGAGGCGCGAAAGCUAGGGGAGCAAACGGGAUUAGAUACCCCGGUAGUCC